AGCUUUGCACAGUGGCAGUAUCAUAGCCAAUGAGGUUUAUCUGAGGCAUGAUUAUUGCUAAUUAAAAUAUAAUUAGUUACUUAAAAUGAGUACCAUGGGCUGGGGAUAUAGCCUAGUGGCAAGAGUGCCUGCCUCGGAUACACGAGGC